UACGAAGGGGGCUAGCGUUGCUCGGAAUCACUGGGCGUAAAGGGUGCGUAGGCGGGUCUUUAAGUCAGGGGUGAAAUCCUGGAGCUCAACUCCAGAACUGCCUUUGAUACUGAAGAUCUUGAGUUCGGGAGAGGUGAGUGGAACUGCGAGUGUAGAGGUGAAAUUCGUAGAUAUUCGCAAGAACACCAGUGGCGAAGGCGGCGAUCUGGGUCGAUACUGACGCUGAGGUGCGAAAGCGUGGGGAGCAAACAGG
rnacentral:rRNA from 1 species